UGGGGAAUUUUGGACAAUGGGCGAAAGCCUGAUCCAGCAAUGCCGCGUGUGUGAAGAAGGCCUUCGGGUUGUAAAGCACUUUUGUCCGGAAAGAAAUCCUUGGCUCUAAUACAGUCGGGGGAUGACGGUACCGGAAGAAUAAGCACCGGCUAACUACGUGCCAGCAGCCGCGGUAAUACGUAGGGUGCAAGCGUUAAUCGGAAUUACUGGGCGUAAAGCGUGCGCAGGCGGUUUGCUAAGACCGAUGUGAAAUCCCCGGGCUCAACCUGGGAACUGCAUUGGUGACUGGCAGGCUAGAGUAUGGCAGAGGGGGGUAGAAUUCCACGUGUAGCAGUGAAAUGCGUAGAGAUGUGGAGGAAUACCGAUGGCGAAGGCAGCCCCCUGGGCCAAUACUGACGCUCAUGCACGAAAGCGUGGGGAGCAAACAGGAUUAGAUACCCUGGUAGUCCACGCCCUAAACGAUGUCAACUAGUUGUGGGGAUUCAUUUCCUAGUAACGUAGCUAACGCGUGAAGUUGACCGCCUGGGGAGUACGGUCGCAAGAUUAAAACUUAAAUGAAUUGAC
rnacentral:rRNA from 1 species